rnacentral:rRNA from 1 species
CAUAGCCACAGGUCAUUACCUAUGGUGUUUUCUGCUCAAUGAGAUAUUAAAUAGCCGCAGUACACUGACUGUGCAAAGGUAGCGUAAUAAUUUGUCUUCUAAUUAAAGUCUUGUAUGAAUGAAUAUAUGGGGGCCUACUAUACCAGCAACAUAAAACGAAAUUAUUCAAUGAGUGAAAAUACUCAUAGAUAAAUAAUAGACGAGAAGACCCUAGAAAUUUGUAUCGGUGUUUUGUUGGGGCAACAAGGUAGCAAUUAAUCUACUUGUGUAUAUGAAAUAAAUUGGUAAAAUUAAAUUACUCUAGGGAUAACAGCAUAAUCUAUGAAUGUUUGUGACCUCGAUGUUGGACUAGGAAGUUGCAACCUAGAAGGUAAUCAACAAAGCUCUGUUCGA